CAGCCCAGAGCCUGAAUCAGUGUGUGUGUUAGUGGAAGCGUCUGGAAAGGCGCGCGAUACAGGGUGACAGCCCCGUACACAAAAAUGCACAUGCUGUGAGCUCGAUGAGUAGGGCGGGACACGUGGUAUCCUGUCUGAAUAUGGGGGGACCAUCCUCCAAGGCUAAAUACUCCUGACUGACCGAUAGUGAACCAGUACCGUGAGGGAAAGGCGAAAAGAACCCCGGCGAGGGGAGUGAAAAAGAACCUGAAACCGUGUACGUACAAGCAGUGGGAGCACGCUUAGGCGUGUGACUGCGUACCUUUUGUAUAAUGGGUCAGCGACUUAUAUUCUGUAGCAAGGUUAACCGAAUAGGGGAGCCGAAGGGAAACCGAGUCUUAACUGGGCGUUAAGUUGCAGGGUAUAGACCCGAAACCCGGUGAUCUAGCCAUGGGCAGGUUGAAGGUUGGGUAACACUAACUGGAGGACCGAACCGACUAAUGUUGAAAAAUUAGCGGAUGACUUGUGGCUGGGGGUGAAAGGCCAAUCAAACCGGGAGAUAGCUGGUUCUCCCCGAAAGCUAUUUAGGUAGCGCCUCGUGAAUUCAUCUCCGGGGGUAGAGCACUGUUUCGGCAAGGGGGUCAUCCCGA
rnacentral:rRNA from 1 species